GCAUAUCAAUAAGCGGAGGAAAGGAAACCAACAAGGAUUCCCCUAGUAGCGGCGAGCGAAGCGGGAAGAGCUCAAAUUUAUAAUCUGGCACUUUCAGUGUCCGAGUUGUAAUCUCUAGAAGUGUUUUCCGCGUUGGACCGCACACAAGUCUGUUGGAAUACAGCGGCACUGGUGACACCCCCGUACACGGUGCGGACGCCCAGCGCUUUGUGAUACACUUUCGAAGAGUCGAGUUGUUUGGGAAUGCAGCUCAAAUUGGGUGGUAAAUUCCAUCUAAAGCUAAAUAUUGGCGAGAGACCGAUAGCGAACAAGUACCGUGAGGGAAAGAUGAAAAGCACUUUGGAAAGAGAGUUAACAGUACGUGAAAUUGUUGGAAGGGAAACGCUUGAAGUCAGACUUGCUUGCCGGAGCUUGCUUCGGUUUGCAGGCCAGCAUCAGUUUUCCGGGGUGGAUAAUGGCGGUUAGAAGGUAGCAGCUUCAGCUGUGUUAUAGCUUUCCGCUGGAUACAUCCUGGGGGACUGAGGAACGCAGCGUGCUUUUAGCGGGGGUUUCGACCUCUUCACGCUUAGGAUGCUGGUGUAAUGGCUUUAAACGACCCGUCUUGAAACACGGACC
rnacentral:rRNA from 1 species